rnacentral:rRNA from 1 species
CAAGUCGAGCGGAUGAGUGGAGCUUGCUCCAUGAUUCAGCGGCGGACGGGUGAGUAAUGCCUAGGAAUCUGCCUGGUAGUGGGGGACAACGUUUCGAAAGGAACGCUAAUACCGCAUACGUCCUACGGGAGAAAGCAGGGGACCUUCGGGCCUUGCGCUAUCAGAUGAGCCUAGGUCGGAUUAGCUAGUAGGUGAGGUAAUGGCUCACCUAGGCGACGAUCCGUAACUGGUCUGAGAGGAUGAUCAGUCACACUGGAACUGAGACACGGUCCAGACUCCUACGGGAGGCAGCAGUGGGGAAUAUUGGACAAUGGGCGAAAGCCUGAUCCAGCCAUGCCGCGUGUGUGAAGAAGGUCUUCGGAUUGUAAAGCACUUUAAGUUGGGAGGAAGGGCAGUAAGUUAAUACCUUGCUGUUUUGACGUUACCAACAGAAUAAGCACCGGCUAACUUCGUGCCAGCAGCCGCGGUAAUACGAAGGGUGCAAGCGUUAAUCGGAAUUACUGGGCGUAAAGCGCGCGUAGGUGGUUCAGCAAGUUGGAGGUGAAAUCCCCGGGCUCAACCUGGGAACUGCCUCCAAAACUACUGAGCUAGAGUACGGUAGAGGGUAGUGGAAUUUCCUGUGUAGCGGUGAAAUGCGUAGAUAUAGGAAGGAACACCAGUGGCGAAGGCGACUACCUGGACUGAUACUGACACUGAGGUGCGAAAGCGUGGGGAGCAAACAGGAUUAGAUACCCCUGGUAGUCCCACGCCGUAAACGAUGUCGACUAGCCGUUGGGAUCCUUGAGAUCUUAGUGGCGCAGCUAACGCAUUAAGUCG